rnacentral:lncRNA from 1 species
UUCGGUAGUUGUACCUCUUUUCUAUAAAACAUAUAUAGUUUAGGAAUAAUAUUUGACCAAAAAUAGAGUUAAUUAAUUAGCCAGUAGAUAUAUAAGUGACAAGAGUAAAGUGGUUUGACCAUUGUGUUCACUGAUAAUUAUGUUACUUGAUCAAAUACCUCAUUUUUUAAUAUUACAUUUAUUAAUACCAUGCACCUUUUUUUUUUUUUCUUGCAUAUGUAAUUUUUUUUUUUUUUUUUUUGUCAUCGUUACAAAUUAU